UAUAAUAUAGAAAAUCUGUAACUUUUGGUAGAAAUGACAAAUUCACACUACAUUAAUUUCAGUGCUUACAAAAUGUUACAAAUAAUUUGCGCAUUCUUUGCUUUCUCGUGUAGGUGCACGUGAAUUAAUCACCUAUCCAAUUUCAACAUCUUUCAAGUCAGCUUCCCCUGGACAACUCUGAAAUUAAAAGGAAAUAGGUUUGAUUUCCAUUCGCUGAGCAGAUUUGUUUUAGAUGUUUAACCAUUUAAGCCUUUGUGCGUGAACAGAAGUACAUGGGCAUUAACAGGCGUGUUCGCUGCGCAAACAUGGUGUGGGACAACAGAGUCCAUGGGUAAUUACGAAGCAGAAAGGACACCCUUCAAUCCUGAUACUCUGCAAAGUGGAGCAGCAACUGAUCCAGGGCCCAACCUAAGGCAGGUGUCCACCCGCCAAGGACAGCUGGCAGCACCAGGGCCUGGGAGAGGCAGGGAAGGGACUCCCUGGAGCUUGUGGAGGGUCAUGAUCCUGCCCGCACCGUGGCCUCAGCAUGACAGCGAGAGAGUACCGUCUGUUAUGUGGGCCCCCCGAUCAGCCCUGGGACCCAGACACAGCUGUGUCCUCACCAGAGGGGCAAACAGAGACAGAGUGAAGACGACGUGAAGAGAUGCGUGGAGAAGGGGGCCAAGAAGGCGGAGGCAGAGUCACAGCCACGGCCACGGAGCGCCACAAACCGCUGGCACCACCAGAGGCUGGGAGAGGCACGCAGGCAUCUCCAUCAGCUCCAGCCGUCAACAAACACGCACCCGAGGCUCAGACAACAGAGGCUGGCUUCUCACAGUCCGGAGGCUGCACGCUCCAAGAUUAAGGUCCCAGCCCACUCAGUUCCUGGUGAGGGCCUUCUUCCUGGCUUGGGGUAGGCACCUUCCCACUCUGUCCUCGCAUGGCAGACAGAGCCAGAGACAGAGAAGGAGAGCCAGAGACAGAGGGGUGGGGGGAGAGAAAGAGGGAGUGCCCUGGUGUCGACCUCCUCUUAUAAGGACACAAAUUCCAUCUUGGGGACUCCGCCCUCGUGACUCCCCAUAGGCCCUGCCUCCUAAG
ensembl:lncRNA